rnacentral:lncRNA from 1 species
AUUCUGAGUACCCAGACUGGCUGUGGCGCUUGCUCGACAAACGCCCAACGCUGAGUGAACUGCGGCGGAAGGACUCGGAAUCUCUCCCAUUUGAAGACCUUAAACGCUUCGUGAAGCUGGAUAACCGUGCCCGAAUCGAGGGAAACAAUGCUGCCAGAGCUAAAAAUUGAAGUUUAUACUAGAAUGUUGCCAUUGUUGGCUGUUCUCUGCAGUGUAAUCCCGUUAUGUUUAGAAAUGUCAUUUUGUAAUGAUUUCUCAUGGCAUUGUCAUGAUGCUGAGAGUUCAUGAGUUUCGGUGACAAUGCCCAAUAAUUUGUAUGUUUCUAUCGGAGACUUCUAAAGUAUUUUCUUUUCUAACCUUUUGAUCUAAACCCUUUUCAAAUUUCUUUUAGCUCUGGCUAUAUGUAUAUGGAUUUUCUCUUUAACUUGGAAAUUGAUAUUUACUUGGUUGAUUGGCAUUGAACUAAUAAUUGAAAGUUCAAUUGACAUAAAUACCCUUUAAUGAUAUUUUAGUAAAUGAGAUAAUUAUAUAUAAUGUAUGCUUUUAUAUAUUUUUAAAUUCAAACAAUAAUGUUAUUGGAUUGAUGUUUUGUUAAUAUUUUGAGAAAUUAUUACGUUAUAUUAAAUUUAUAGGGGUUAAUAUGCUAAUCCCAAAUUUGUUAUAUUGCUAAUCCCAACUCAUUUGCUGAGAGUUGGGUUUGGGCCCAAUUUGGCCCAAUUUUCUUAUAACUGUCGGCCCAUUAACCCUAUUAAGCAUGAUUACACGGUGUUCUCACAUUAGCUAAAUUAGGUUAGCUUCCUUCGCUGCAAUAAGUAGGGGCGAGCGGUGGGUUUGAACCCCUCGCCGCUUUCGAAGCCGCUUCCGGAUCGAUUGGAGCAGCGACGUCGAGCGUUUGGCGUUUGGGAGUUCCCAGGAGAUGAGGGCGAAGGUAAAUAUUUGAUCUUUCCCUCAUUCUGCUUUAAUCAUUCUUUCGCUUGCGAUUGUGUUCAAAUAUUAGCUUCUUAUUUUCUUUAUAGCGGUUCAAAUCGUAAUAGAGUAGCAUCGUUUGACGAUAUGAUAGCAGGCUGCCGAGAGUUCCCUUUGAUCUUUUGGGGUUUGGGAUUGCGACGACAUUCUAUACAAAGAUUGGUCUCCCCUUGCCGAUUAGGUUGUACUUGAAAAUACCAUCGAUGUUCGAAGUCGAGGUAGGGUGUGAGAGGGUUCGCAAUAGCUAGUGGCAAGGGAAAGAAGGGCCCGAAAGGUGGCGCUAAUGAUGCGCCUAAAGCUUCACUUAUGAGCCAUGAAGUAAAAAGAGCACAACAGUCGUUGGAGCCAAUAUCCUCAAGGAUGGUACUGAUCCGAAGAUAGUGCCCGAUUCUGAGUACCCAGACUGGCUGUGGCGCUUGCUCGACAAACGCCCAACACUGAGUGAACUGCGGCGGAAGGACUCGGAAUCUCUCCCAUUUGAAGACCUUAAACGCUUCGUGAAGUUGGAUAACCGUGCUCGAAUCGAGGAAAUCAAUGCUGCUAGAGCUAAAAAUUGAAGUUUAUACUAGGAUGUUGCCAUUGUUGGCUGUUCUCCGCCGUGUAAUCCCGUUAUGUUUAGAAAUGUCAUUUGUUAACCUUCACUUUGUGGUAUAAUCCAGUUUGUAGUGGUUUCUCAUGACAUUGUCAUGAUGCAACUAAAUUAUCUCACUGAUGCUGAGAGUUCAUGAGUUUUGGUGACAAUGCCCAAUAAUAUGUAUGUUUCUAUCGGAGACUUCUAAAGUAUUUCUUUGGUUUUUCUAAUCAUUUGAUCCAAACCCUUUUCACAUUCCUUUU